ACCGGGGAGGAGGUGUGUGGGGAGGGCAGAACAACAUCAUUCACCACUCUAAUUAACUCUUACAAUUUAUCUGAGAGAGUCCAGAAAUUCCUUUGCCUUCUCCGGCGAUCCGAA